rnacentral:lncRNA from 1 species
CAUGGGGACUAGUGCUGGAAUGGGACGCUGCUGGAAGCAAGAGGUCUUAGGAGUGUCCUCCCUGGCUCCUCCAGUGGUGUCCUGGCCUCCCUCCUAGUUGGUGCUGGUGGAAAGCAUCUCUGAAGAGGAGGUGUGAACCUGCCACGUAAGAGGCCUCGGGUUCUCCUUUGCCAAGAUCCCUCCGCGGUCUUUGGCAGCGGCUGGGGCCAAAGCCCGGGCAAGACCAACGCCUUCGGCACCCGGACUCAGGCUCCGUCCUCUCUGCCAGCGUGCGGCUACAAUGACUCGACAUGGCAGGCCACUGCCUUCAGAGAAGGUGACAGAGGGCCAUGUCUGAAACAUUCUCCCACAACCAGGAACCCUCAGCAGCCGCUGAAGAGGAAAGGCAGUUAAAUGGAAAGACUUCUGAGCAAGUGGAGGAAAAGUCACGUGUGACCUAGGGAGGGGCUCCCACAGGAAGGGGCAAUGCCCUUGCCCUGUUCACCUAGCCUCCAGGUGGCUUCCCACUUGAAAUUUCAGAGGAUGGCAGAAACCUACUUACAAGGAAAUGAAAGAGGGCACAGCAACCUUAAGACCAGAGCAGCCCACGAUAUUUUUUAAUGAGGGCAAAAAUAGAAGACUUGCAAAAGACCCCUGAAAAUAAUGCCUGGAAGCUGCGAAACAUCAGACUGACACCGCACAAAAGAGGUCCAGCUGAGCAGGAGAAAAGCUUGAGAAGCAUCCAGAACAAUGUAGGUGGAGAGGCUAAGAAGAAAGAGGAGCCCACAUGGAAUGAAUAACCAAGGUCGGGACAGAGGAAGGUUCGCCAGAACUGGGAGGGCUGAAAUUGGACAUUGAGAUAAAUUAAAGAGUGUUCUUUAAAACUGUCAA